AACUUUAACCUUUUCAUUGGUAACCUAAAACAUCACAACAUUUUUGCAACAUAUCAACAAAUCCGACCAACAAAUUCCUGUUUUGUUUAAUAGAAAUAAAAUAAAAUGCCAACCAACUCGCUCAUUGUCACUGAGAAUAAACAAGCAAUAGGAACUUCAAAAAAGGAAGCAAAAAGUUUAUUUCAAUAAACCACAUCAAACUUCAGAUUGGAACAUAUUCCAGUGAUGAGAAAGACUUCCACAGCAACACAUCCCAAAGAGAUUUCUUCCCUUAUUAGAAAGAAAGAAAAGGAGUUCCCCAAAGAAAAUAUACUACUUACAGCCUCACACCCAUAUUGAACUAAACAAUUAUCAGCAUAUUAAACUUACGAAAUUCAUAAGAGAAGUCAUACAACCCUAGAUCCCAUGAUUCAAUUUACAGUUAAAAAUAAAAGCACCAUGUUACACAUUUCAUCAUCUCUGAUUUUUUUUUCCCUUUUUGACAAGGACCUGUGCUGAUGUUAUCAUUUAGAAAACAUGCUAGGGCUACAUAAUCAUGUUUUAUACUAAUAUUAGCAAUUAUAUGAUUUUUUUUCUAGAAGUUUAACGUUUACACCAUCAAAAGAAAAUCAAUUUAAUAAAUGUACUGGGUGAAACAAAUUACUAUGAACUUAGUGAUCACCAACAAGUCUGAAAACAAUAAUCUGUUCAAGCAUUUUCAUUUUAAAACUGUUUCCUCAUAAAACUAACAAGACAGACUUUAAACAAAAGAUUUAGGAAAAGACCAACAAGACAAAGAUGAAGAUAUUAAAAAGCAGCACAUAAAACACGAGUUGUCAUGUCAAUUAGUAUUAAGAUGAAGUACACCAUUUUAAACCAUAUGACCAAGACCAAUGUCCAAUAAAUGUUAGGAUGAUGUCAUUACUGCAAACUAUUAAAUAUAUUAUAGCAUUGAGGCAAUUUAAGAUCCUGCUCACUUAUACAUUUCUUAUUGCAGGAGCAGAUAAUUGCAGUUUCCAUACAAGAAUAUCUAUUGCCAAGAAAUAUAGUAAAAUAGGUAACAUUCAAAUAACUAAUAGGCAACAUGAUUGCAGUACAGAGUGCAAGGAGAAAAAA
rnacentral:misc_RNA from 1 species